UACGUAGGGAGCAAGCGUUGUCCGGAAUCAUUGGGCGUAAAGCGCGCGUAGGUGGCUUCGUAAGUCCGCUGUGAAAGUCAAAGGCUCAACCUUUGAAAGCCGGUGGAUACUGUGAAGCUAGAGUCCGGAAGAGGCGAGUGGAAUUCCUGGUGUAGCGGUGGAAUGCGCAGAGUAUCAGGAGGAACACCAAUAGCGAAGGCAGCUCGCUGGGACGGUACUGACGCUGAGACGCGAAGCGUGGGGAGCGAACAGGAUUAAGAAAC
rnacentral:rRNA from 1 species